AAUGCCGCGUGAGCUGAAGAAGGCCUUCGGGUUGUAAAGCUCUUUUGUCAGGGAAGAAACACCGGCUCUAACACAGUCCGGGAAUGACGGUACCUGAAGAAUAAGCACCGGCUAACUACGUGCCAGCAGCCGCGGUAAUACGUAGGGUGCGAGCGUUAAUCGGAAUUACUGGGCGUAAAGCGUGCGCAGGCGGUUAUACAAGACAGGCGUGAAAUCCCCGGGCUUAACCUGGGAAUGGCGCCUGUGACUGUAUAGCUAGAGUGUGUCAGAGGGGGGUAGAAUUCCACGUGUAGCAGUGAAAUGCGUAGAUAUGUGGAGGAAUACCAAUGGCGAAGGCAGCCCCCUGGGAUAACACUGACGCUCAUGCACGAAAGCGUGGGGAGCAAACAGGAUUAGAUACCCUGGUAGUCCACGCCCUAAACGAUGCUGACUAGUUGUUCGGGAUUUACAUCUUGAGUAACGUAGCUAACGCGUGAAGUCAGCCGCCUGGGGAGUACGGUCGCAAGAUUAAAACUCAAAGGAAUUGACGGGGACCCGCACAAGCGGUGGAUGAUGUGGAUUUAAUUCGAUGCAACGCGAAAAACCUUAACUAACCUUGACAUGUCACUAACGAAGUAGAGAUACAUU
rnacentral:rRNA from 1 species